rnacentral:rRNA from 2 species
CCAGCUAAGGUCCCAAAGUCAUGGUUAAGUGGGAAACGAUGUGGGAAGGCCCAGACAGCCAGGAUGUUGGCUUAGAAGCAGCCAUCAUUUAAAGAAAGCGUAAUAGCUCACUGGUCGAGUCGGCCUGCGCGGAAGAUGUAACGGGGCUAAACCAUGCACCGAAGCUGCGGCAGCGAACGUAUCACUUAAAGCGAUUCAGCGGGUUACGAUUGACGGAGCGAAGCGACGUCAAAGCGUAUACAAAGUCGAGUCGGUUUAAGGAUACGUUCGUUGGGUAGGGGAGCGUUCUGUAAGCCUGUGAAGGUGUGUCGUGAGGCAUGCUGGAGGUAUCAGAAGUGCGAAUGCUGACAUAAGUAACGAUAAAGCGGGUGAAAAGCCCGCUCGCCGGAAGACCAAGGGUUCCUGUCCAACGUUAAUCGGGGCAGGGUGAGUCGACCCCUAAGGC